ensembl:misc_RNA Y_RNA Y RNA
GGCUGGUCCGAUGGCAGUUUUCAGAUGGUUAUCAGAACUUAUUAACAUUAGUGUCACUAAAGUUGGUAUACCACCCCCCCUAAAUUUGACUGGCUUAAA